AAAAAAAAAAAAAAAAAAAAGCCCGCUACUCACUGCUCCUAAAAAGAGUUAGAGGAGUGGCUGUGAAUUUCUAUGGUCCAAUAAAGAAGGAAAUUAAGAGAAUGUCAAAUGGCAUCAAAAUAUCUAAAAUCCUCAUUGAAAAAGGUUUAUUGACAGAGGAAAUGUCGUAGAUAUAAUGGUGUGCUUCAGUCAAGUGUAAUAUGGAUGCAAGUACUACCAAUGCCUCUCUGUUAGCUCUAUAUUACUCCUCCAUACUAAUCUCUAUUACUCCUAUAUAUUACUUUUGAAUGAAGCUCACGGUCAUGCCAUUCAUUCAUCUAUUUUUGCUAUGCGUCUUGAAGUGCGGAUUUUAGUUAUUUAAGUGCUAUGUGACAUCCUCUUGCUAUGGGGUGAGAAAUAUAUGGUUGUAAUUGGACCCAGCUUCAGCCUGUUACUCCGGAAAGCCCCUCGGAUCAUAGGUUUCUUAUAGCGCAUUUGUGAAAAACUGAAGUUGAGGAUAUCCUGAUCUUCCUAUACUUAACAUUAUCUUUUGUCUUAAUCAGUGGGCCAGCUAUGUCGAUUGUUUUUUUUCUCAGUCCACCUCUAUGAUAAAGUAAAGAGCCUUAAUGGAAGUAUCUCAGAAGUUAAUAUAUGUUGCCACUUGUCGACUCAAACAUGUAAACCCUUUUUGUAAGCUUUGAACCUUUUGUCUGAUAAAGUUAAUAGUUUUGUGAAAUUAUCUCAGAAGUGAACAUAUGUUGCCACUUAUCAAACUCAAACAUGUUAACCAUUUUUGUAAGCUUUGAACCUUUUGUUUGCUAAAGUUAACAGGUUUUUGAAAUUAUCUUGAAAGUAAAUAUGUGUUGAUUCAUUGACUUAAACAUGUAAGUCAUUUUUGUAAGCUUUGAACCUUGUGUCUGAUAAAGUUAAUAGGUUUAUGAAAUUAUCUCGAAAGUAAACACAUUUUGCCACCUAUCAACUCAAACAUGUUAACCAAUUUUGUAAGCUUUGAACCUUGUGUCUGAUGAAGUUAACAGGUUUAUGAAAUUAUCUCAAAAGUAAACACAUUUUGCCACCUAUCAACUCAAACAUGUAAGUCAUUUUUGUAAGCUUUGAACCUUUUGUCUGAUAAAGUUAACAGGUUUAUGAAAUUAUCUCAAAAGUAAACAUAUGUUGCUCCCUAUCAACUCAAACAUGUUAACCAUUUUUGUAAGCUUUUCCUUGAACCUUGUUGUGUCUGCCCCAGUGCAUGUCUGUUGAUAUCCAGUACCUCUGUGGUUAUGUCUGUUGCAUAGAAAUAUGUAUACUAUCAGUCUUGAACAAGGUCUGCUUUCUGAUAAUGAUACCCCGUUAUGUCCUGACUACCUGUUUGUCUUAUAUAAAAUUCUUGUUGAGUGA